rnacentral:rRNA from 1 species
UACGUAGGGUGCGAGCGUUGUCCGGAAUUAUUGGGCGUAAAGAGCUCGUAGGCGGUCUGUCGCGUCUGCUGUGAAAACUCGGGGCUUAACCCCGGGCCUGCAGUGGGUACGGGCAGACUAGAGUGCGGUAGGGGAGACUGGAAUUCCUGGUGUAGCGGUGAAAUGCGCAGAUAUCAGGAGGAACACCGGUGACGAAGGCGGGUCUCUGGGCCGUAACUGACGCUGAGGAGCGAAAGCAUGGGGAGCGAACAGG